rnacentral:rRNA from 1 species
AUUGAACGCUGGCGGCACGCCUAACACAUGCAAGUCGAGCGGCAGCGCGAUGUGUAGCAAUACACAUUGGCGGCGAGCGGCGGACGGGUGAGGAACACGUAGGAAUCUACCCUCAAGCGGGGGACAACCAAGGGAAACUUUGGCUAAUACCGCAUAAUCUCGAGAGAGCAAAGCUGCAGCAAUGUGGCACUUGAGGAGGAGCCUGCGUCCGAUUAGCUAGUUGGUAGGGUAAUGGCCUACCAAGGCAAUGAUCGGUAACUGGUCUGAGAGGACGACCAGGCACACUGGGACUGGGACACGGCCCAGACGCCUACGGGAGGCAGCAGGGGGGAAUCUUAGACAAUGGGGGCAACCCUGAUCCAGCGAUGCCGCGUGAGGGAAGAAGGCCCUCGGGUCGUAAAGCUCUUUAGGUUGGGAAGAAGAGUAUGGGAGGAAAUGCCUGUACUUUGACGGUACCGACAGAAUAAGCACCGGCAAACUCUGUGCCAGCAGCCGCGGUAAGAC